GACGAACGCUGGCGGCGUGCUUAACACAUGCAAGUCGAACGGAAAGGCCCUGCUUUUGUGGGGUGCUCGAGUGGCGAACGGGUGAGUAACACGUGAGUAACCUGCCCUUGACUUUGGGAUAACUUCAGGAAACUGGGGCUAAUACCGGAUAGGAGCUCCUGCUGCAUGGUGGGGGUUGGAAAGUUUCGGCGGUUGGGGAUGGACUCGCGGCUUAUCAGCUUGUUGGUGGGGUAGUGGCUUACCAAGGCUUUGACGGGUAGCCGGCCUGAGAGGGUGACCGGCCACAUUGGGACUGAGAUACGGCCCAGACUCCUACGGGAGGCAGCAGUGGGGAAUAUUGCACAAUGGGCGGAAGCCUGAUGCAGCCACGCCGCGUGCGGUAUGACGGCCUUCGGGUUGUAAACCGCUUUCGCCUGUGACGAAGCGUGAGUGACGGUAAUGGGUAAAGAAGCACCGGCUAACUACGUG
rnacentral:rRNA from 1 species